AUGAUCAGUGUUGGGAAGACGAAGCAGUAUGCAAACGUUCUUGACAAGCCCCUCAGCCGAGGCAGACAGGAGGUCAGUUUGAGUGCAUUCGCAUUCUUGUUCUCGGAGGUGGUUCAAUACAACCAGACACAAGUUGACAACAUUGCUGACCUGGAACGAAGGCUGGAGGACGCUGGUUAUGCUGUUGGUGCUAGAGUUCUUGAACUGCUGUGUCACAGGGAGAAGGGGAAUAGACGAGAGACUCGACUGCUGGGGAUUUUAUCAUUCAUUCACAGCACUGUAUGGAAAGUACUGUUCGGAAAGGUGGCUGACUCGCUUGAGAAAGGAACAGAACAUGAGGAUGAAUACAUGAUUAGUGAAAAGGAGCUUCUUGUUAACCGGUUCAUUUCCGUGCCGAAAGACAUGGGGGCAUUCAACUGUGGAGCUUUUGUUGCAGGGAUUGUAAGGGGCGUAUUGGACAAUGCUGGUUUUCCAGCGGUAGUUACGGCACAUUUUGUGCCAAUUGAAGGCCAGCAGAGGCCCAGGACAACAAUCUUGAUUAAAUUUGCUGAAGAGGUUUUACGUCGGGAAUCAAGACUUGGCUGA
rnacentral:rRNA from 1 species